rnacentral:rRNA from 1 species
CCUACGGGCGGCAGCAGUGAGGAAUAUUGGUCAAUGGACGCGAGUCUGAACCAGCCAAGUAGCGUGAAGGAUGACUGCCCUAUGGGUUGUAAACUUCUUUUAUAUGGGAAUAAAAUGUUCCACGUGUGGGAUUUUGUAUGUACUAUAUGAAUAAGGAUCGGCUAACUCCGUGCCAGCAGCCGCGGUAAUACGGAGGAUCCGAGCGUUAUCCGGAUUUAUUGGGUUUAAAGGGAGCGUAGGUGGAUUGUUAAGUCAGUUGUGAAAGUUUGCGGCUCAACCGUAAAAUUGCAGUUGAAACUGGCAGUCUUGAGUACAGUUGAGGUGGGCGGAAUUCGUGGUGUAGCGGUGAAAUGCUUAGAUAUCACGAAGAACUCCGAUUGCGAAGGCAGUUCACUGGACUGCAACUGACACUGAGGCUCGAAAGUGUGGGUAUCAAACAGGAUUAGAUACCCGGGUAGUC